UGAGCAGACAUGUGGUUAUUGGGAGACCGUGGAUAUCCUUGCACCCCCUGGCUCAUGACUCCUUACCGUAAUCCCAGGCCAGGACCACAGAUGGCAUUUAACUCCGCGCUUACUGCCACUAGGCAGCUGGUGGAGCGCACAAUUGGUGUCCUUAAAGGGCGGUUUCGUGUGCUCCACCGCACUGGUGGCGACAUCAUGUAUUCGCCGGAGAUGGCAAGUAAAAUAGUGGUCCUGUGCGCAAUACUACAUAAUAUCGCGGUAAGGAGUAGUGUAGAGCUUCCUCAGGCAGAGGAAUUGCCUGAUGAGGAGCCAGGGGUUGGUCGACGCUUCGGUGGGGGGAGUGUGACACGGAGGGGGAGCCAAGUGAGGGCAAGAAUUGUUGCCGAAUAUUUCAGCUGAAUGAUCACACGAACUGUGGACAACAACGGCACAACUCUCCGCCCCCUUCCCCUUCCC